GGGUUGAGCAUGUUGCCAAGACUGGCAAUGUCAAAAAUGUGCUUUUGGUUCUUCUUACUCCAUAACAGCCGCUUUUGGAUUAAUACUAGGCGCGUUGCCGCGUUCCGCGCGGGCGACGCCGCCAGCCUCACGGCACUUGUUGAGGUGCGGUAUGAUGAGGCUAUUCCUACGCUGCAGCACCUCACGCUCCCUCUUUCCAGCCUUCCUCGCAUCCACUCUCUCGGUUUCCGAUUUGAGUUAAAUGUGCAUGGUGGGGUAUGGGAGUGGACAAGAUAAAUCAUGAUGCUUUGUUGCUUCGUGCAAACUUGCUGUUCUUGGGCAACUUUUUGGGGUAGCGCAGCAGUAAGGGAAGGGUCUGUUGAUCUCUUGGCACCGGCUUCAUGCCGGCGAGCCUUGCUGGUGAUAGUGACAGGCGCGGCGAUGGCUGCUGCGUGGCGGUGACCGUCGGACGGGUCGGGUGUUGAACUGCUGACACCCUUCGACGCCGAAGACGACAACGACGAAACCGACCAGUUGAGAUAGAAACUGACUGAUUGACCUGCCAGUGCGUGAGGCUGGUUAAAGCCAGUGACACAUAGUAGGGUAGUCGGUCGUCUACCCGACACCAAUUGAGGUUAUCGAUAUUUCUGUCCCUGUCCCGGAAUUACGGUUUUCGGCGGCGCCGAGGUAUGUCUACCCCUGCUUGGAUGACGAUGCCUAGCAUAGCGUACUCUGACGCCAAGGAAGAUGAUGUUCCCCCAGGAACCGCCAAAGCGGAAAGCUGAUCCUGUCGCGUUUACAUAUUUGGAGGUGAGAUCCUGAUUCUGAGAAGGUGUGGGGGGGGGGGGGUUAGGCGCGAGGGUUGGAGUCCCUGGGGAGGUGCUGUGGGAUUUGAUUAGUAGCCUUGCUUAAGCCUUGUCACGUCUUUCUCCGCGGGGUUGGGAGAGUCUGCGGGGAAGGGAAGGAAAGGAAAGGAAAGGGAGGGGAGGAUGAGCUGAAGGUGGUGCUUGAUACUUGAUAGGAUCGGG